CUACGGGUGGCUGCAGUGGGGAAUAUUGCACAAUGGAGGAAACUCUGAUGCAGCAACGCCGCGUGGAGGAUGAAACUUUUCGGAGCGUAAACUCCUUUUAUAUAGGAAGAAGAUGACGGUACUAUAUGAAUAAGCGCCGGCUAACUCCGUGCCAGCAGCCGCGGUAAUACGGAGGGCGCAAGCGUUACUCGGAAUCACUGGGCGUAAAGAGCGUGUAGGCGGAUUAAAAAGUCAGAAGUGAAAUCCUAUAGCUUAACUAUAGAACUGCUUCUGAAACUCUUAAUCUAGAAUAUGGGAGAGGUAGAUGGAAUUUCUGGUGUAGGGGUAAAAUCCGUAGAGAUCAGAAGGAAUACCGAUUGCGAAGGCGUCCUACUAGAACAAUAUUGACGCUGAGACGCGAACGCGUGGGGAGCAAACAGGAUUAGAUACCCUAGUAGUC
rnacentral:rRNA from 1 species